rnacentral:lncRNA from 1 species
GUUUCUCUCUCAGAUGCCAGGGCCAUGAGGCAAGUCCAGCCUUGGCCUAGAACCAAAGAUGGAAACAAAAAGGGGCCAGACUGUGUUGCCUUCUUGAGCCUGGUCUGACUCCUGAGUGGAAGUCUGAUUCCAGGUACAUGAGAUAAGCACUAAUACCUCCAGUUUGCAGAUUAAGAGACUGAGGUCCUGAAGAGGUUAAAGAACUUGGCUCAAGUCACAUAGCUGGUGAGCAGCAAGAUACAAGAAUCAACCCAAGUCCAGGGGGCUGUGUGCCGUUUACACUUCACAUCUGUGCUGCCAGGUCUGUCUGAUCUGACCCUGCCCUGGGCCUCUGGAGGGUCUGGGAUGCACUGAAUGCUGCAGCUGCAGGCCCUGUGCCUGUUCUCGUCCCCUGGGGUGAUGACUCCUUACCAGGCAGCUGCAGAAAGCUUGGAGCUAUGUCUCCUGCCACCAUCCAGGCAGGUGCCUCUCAGCGGGCCAGAGGGGCUCUUCACCUCCCUCAUC